GGCCCUAUUCCACCUGAAAGUUCUAUCGAUGUCCGCCUUUUCUUCGAGAGCCCUGACCCUCCUUGGCGUCUUCUUUGGCCCUAGGCAUCCUUCGAGUCAUCCCUGUCCUCGCCCCUCUGCAUCCUUCAGAGCGAUCUAGGUUAGUCUCGAAACCUUCAUUUUUCUUCUUGCCAUUUAGGGGCCUUUUCUCCUCCAUUUUCUUCUGUCGUAUUCCUCUGAUUUGAUCUCCUGCAACCCCUCAUCCCUUGUCCCGCCUGAUUUCUCUGGGAUCUUUAGGGUCUUCAUUUGAAAUCAUUCGAAAUAUCUUCCGGCACCUCCGCCUCUAGCGGUUUCGAGAGUUCUUUCGCCUCGGCCCCCCAGGAGCCCCACUCUGUAGACGAACCCACAUCUGGGACUGGGCUUCACCCAAUUUCUGUGCCAGAUGCCAUUCCCUGCUCCCUGACUCUGGAUGAACUCCUACUGAUAAGGGUUUAGUAUGGAGUUCCUCCGGAGUAUGACCUGGAGCUUCCUGGCCCCUCCGACAGGGCUAGCACUCCCCCACCCAUUCGUUUCUGCCUGUAUCAAGAGGCCUUCCAUGCCAGACUCCGACUUCUGCUUCCGCCCUUUGUCGUCGCCCUUUUCCACUUCUUAGAUAUCUCUUUAGCU
rnacentral:lncRNA from 1 species